CGGAGGAAAAGAAACCAACCGGGAUUGCCUCAGUAACGGCGAGUGAAGCGGCAAAAGCUCAAAUUUGAAAUCCUUCGGGAGUUGUAAUUUGUAGAGGGGUGUCUUUGGGGCGGCAUUGUCUAUGUUCCUUGGAACAGGACGUCACAGAGGGUGAGAAUCCCGUGCGAUGAUGCCUCAACCAGUACAAGACCCUCUCGACGAGUCGAGUUGUUUGGGAAUGCAGCUCUAAGUGGGUGGUAAAUUCCAUCUAAAGCUAAAUACUGGCGAGAGACCGAUAGCGAACAAGUACAGUGAUGGAAAGAUGAAAAGCACUUUGAAAAGAGAGUGAAACAGUACGUGAAAUUGUUGAAAGGGAAGGGUAGGAGGUGAGGGGAAGAGCUGCUUAGGCGCGGGAGAUAAACAAGCAGGAAGCGCUUCGGUGCGGCCUGGUAAAUAUCCCGUGCUUGUGUGGUUCUUCCGUAAUCCCCUUCUACCGCCCGUCUUG
rnacentral:rRNA from 1 species